GAGGAAAGAAGGACCUAGGAAGCCAUAUGGGAUAUCCAAGACCUCUCUCUGCUGUGCCUACACCAUUUGGUUGCUUGUAUCCUUAACAUCAGGUGGGCACAGCCUAACAAUGGAACACAGCAGCUGCAAUGGACCAGAGUAACUUGGGAACCAAAGUGCACAUACUUGUAGCUUCACCUUCUCAUUUGCCAUUUUUUGUUUCUUGCUAGCCAAGGGCAGAAGGACUUUUAAAUUAUUGGUGGUUUUAAUUCAUAUCCAAAAAUACAGGCUAAGCAAAUAUGACAUAGGAGUUGACAAAAUUGAGUGAGAAAAGUUUCUUUAAAAAAAAACAGACU
rnacentral:lncRNA from 10 species